rnacentral:rRNA from 1 species
AGGACGAACGCUGGCGGCGUGCCUAACACAUGCAAGUCGAGCGGAAAGGCCUCCUUCGGGAGGUACUCGAGCGGCGAACGGGUGAGUAACACGUGGGCAACCAACCCCUCACAUCGGGAUACCCCGGGGAAACUCGGAUCAAUACCGGAUAAUGCGCGACGCUGUUGGGCGUCGCACCAAAGGUAGCUUCGGCCUCUGGUGAGGGACGGGCCCGCGGCCCAUUAGCUUGUUGGUGGGGUAACGGCCUACCAAGGCAACGAUGGGUAGCUGGUCUGAGAGGAUGAUCAGCCACACUGGGACUGAGAUACGGCCCAGACUCCUACGGGAGGCAGCAGUGGGGAAUAUUGCGCAAUGGGCGGAAGCCUGACGCAGCAACGCCGCGUGCGGGAGGAAGGCCUUCGGGUCGUAAACCGCUUUCAGGGGGGACGAAAUUGACGGUACCUGCAGAGAGCCCGGCAACUCGCGCAGCAGCCGC